GAAAUGCACGGUUGGCACACAGCUUUCCAUGAGAACUCUCCGGCCUCACUUCAGAAGCACAGACUCUACCUGGCUGCCCUGCAUUACAAUGAAAAUACUGACUGACCACAGGCAACAUCUACAGGUGGAGAGCUGCUGUACAGUCAACUUCCCCAAAUCUAAGCAUGGAGAAUGAACUGCAAAGCCUGUGAAAGCAGAGCCAACAUUCUACUACGUUGAUGCACUGUUGGACCUGAUCUUCGAGAAGGUUUUCCAGGCCCCUGGCUCAUAUGUGAACGAGGUGCUGAAACUUAGAAUCCCUGAAGACCUCUUGGCAGCCCAGCACCAGGUUACAAAGCUUCUGUAGGCUAGGUAUCUAUAUUGGCUGGACACAAUUCAGUAGAAAGUCAGCACUGAAUGUUCACAUCCAUGGCAACUGGCAAGUUUAAC